AACGAACGCUGGCGGCAUGCCUAACACAUGCAAGUCGAACGAGACCUUCGGGUCUAGUGGCGCACGGGUGCGUAACGCGUGGGAACCUGCCCUUAGGUUCGGAAUAACUCCCCGAAAGGGGUGCUAAUACCGGAUAAUGUCUUCGGACCAAAGAUUUAUCGCCUUUGGAUGGGCCCGCGUUGGAUUAGUUAGUUGGUAGGGUAAAAGCCUACCAAGGCGACGAUCCAUAGCUGGUCUGAGAGGAUGAUCAGCCACACUGGGACUGAGACACGGCCCAGACUCCUACGGGAGGCAGCAGUGGGGAAUAUUGGACAGUGGGCGAAAGCCUGAUCCAGCAAUGCCGCGUGAGUGAUGAAGGCCUUAGGGUUGUAAAGCUCUUUUACCCGGGAUGAUAAUGACAGUACCGGGAGAAUAAGCACCGGCUAACUCCGUG
rnacentral:rRNA from 1 species